rnacentral:rRNA from 1 species
GUAGGGAAUAUUGCGCAAUGGACGAAAGUCUGACGCAGCGACGCCGCGUGAGUGAUGAAGGCCUUAGGGUCGUAAAGCUCUGUCGUAUGGGACUAACAAAAUAAAGGUACCAUGCAAGAAAGGAUCGGCUAACUUCGUGCCAGCAGCCGCGGUAAGACGAGGGAUCCUAGCGUUGUUCGGAAUUAUUGGGCGUAAAGCGGGUGUAGGCGGGCCUGUCAGUCAGGUGUGAAAUCCCAGGGCUUAACCCUGGAAGUGCACUUGAUACUGCAGGUCUUGAGUGUGGUAGAGGCUAUUAGAAUUCUUGGUGUAGUGGUGAAAUACGUAGAUAUCAAGAGGAAUACCGGAGGCGAAGGCGGAUAGCUGGGCCAACACUGACGCUGAGACCCGAAAGCGUGGGGAUCAAACAGGAUUAGAAACCCGAGUAGUCC